rnacentral:rRNA from 1 species
GGAAUAUUGGACAAUGGGCGAAAGCCUGAUCCAGCCAUGCCGCGUGUGUGAAGAAGGUCUUCGGAUUGUAAAGCACUUUAAGUUGGGAGGAAGGGCAUUUACCUAAUACGUAAGUGUUUUGACGUUACCGACAGAAUAAGCACCGGCUAACUCUGUGCCAGCAGCCGCGGUAAUACAGAGGGUGCAAGCGUUAAUCGGAAUUACUGGGCGUAAAGCGCGCGUAGGUGGUUUGUUAAGUUGAAUGUGAAAUCCCCGGGCUCAACCUGGGAACUGCAUCCAAAACUGGCAAGCUAGAGUAUGGUAGAGGGUGGUGGAAUUUCCUGUGUAGCGGUGAAAUGCGUAGAUAUAGGAAGGAACACCAGUGGCGAAGGCGACCACCUGGACUGAUACUGACACUGAGGUGCGAAAGCGUGGGGAGCAAACAGGAUUAGAUACCCGGG